CGAACGCUGGCGGCGUGCCUAAUACAUGCAAGUGGAACGCAAUUAUUUCUACCGUAGCUUGCUACACUUGAGAUAAUUGAGUCGCGAACGGGUGAGUAACGCGUAGGUAACCUACCUUCUAGCGGGGGAUAACUAUUGGAAACGAUAGCUAAUACCGCAUAAGAUUAGCUAACACAUGUUAGCUGAUUAAAAGGGGCAACAGCUCCACUAGAAGAUGGACCUGCGUUGUAUUAGCUAGUUGGUAAGGUAACGGCUUACCAAGGCAUCGAUACAUAGCCGACCUGAGAGGGUGAUCGGCCACACUGGGACUGAGACACGGCCCAGACUCCUACGGGAGGCAGCAGUAGGGAAUCUUCGGCAAUGGGGGGAACCCUGACCGAGCAACGCCGCGUGAGUGAAGAAGGUUUUCGGAUCGUAAAGCUCUGUUAUAAGCGAAGAACGGGAGUAAGAGUGGAAAAUUUACUCUGUGACGGUAGCUUAUCAGAAAGGGACGGCUAACU
rnacentral:rRNA from 1 species